rnacentral:tRNA from 1 species
GCCGACGUAGCUCAGCUGGUAGAGCACAUCACUCGUAAUGAUGGGGUCAGGGGUUCGAGUCCCCUCGUCGGCU